UACGAAGGGGGCUAGCGUUGCUCGGAAUCACUGGGCGUAAAGCGCACGUAGGCGGCUUUCUAAGUCAGGGGUGAAAUCCUGGAGCUCAACUCCAGAACUGCCUUUGAUACUGGAGAGCUCGAGUCCGGAAGAGGUGAGUGGAACUCCGAGUGUAGAGGUGAAAUUCGUAGAUAUUACGGAAGAACACCAGUGGCGAAGGCGGCUCACUGGUCCGGUACUGGAC
rnacentral:rRNA from 1 species